rnacentral:rRNA from 1 species
UCUACGGGAGGCUGCAGUGAGGAAUAUUGGUCAAUGGGCGCGAGCCUGAACCAGCCAAGUAGCGUGAAGGAUGACUGCCCUACGGGUUGUAAACUUCUUUUAUAAAGGAAUAAAGUGAGGCACGUGUGCCUUUUUGUAUGUACUUUAUGAAUAAGGAUCGGCUAACUCCGUGCCAGAAGCCGCGGUAAUACGGAGGAUCCGAGCUUUAUCCGGAUUUAUUGGGUUUAAAGGGAGCGUAGAUGGGUUGUUAAGUCAGUUGUGAAAGUUUGCGGCUCAACCGUAAAAUUGCAAUUGAUACUGGCAGUCUUGAGUACAGUUGAGGUAGGCGGAAUUCGUGGUGUAGCGGUGAAAUGCUUAGAUAUCACGAAGAACUCCGAUUGCGAAGGCAGCUUACUAAACUGCCACUGACAUUGAUGCUCGAAAGUGUGGGUAUCAAACAGGAUUAGAUACCCUUGUAGUC